ACUCCUACGGGAGGCAGCAGUGGGAAUAUUGCACAAUGGGGAAGGCCAUCGAUGCAGCCAUGCCGCGCUGUGUGAAGAAGGCCAAUCGGGCUUGGUUAAAGACACUUUCAGUAGGGAGGAAGGUAGUGUAGUUAACACCUGCAUUAUUUGACGUUACCUACAGAAGAAGCACCGGCUAACUCCGUGCUAGCAGCCGCGGUAAUACGGAGGGUGCGAGCGUUAAUCGGAAUUACUGGGCGUAAAGCGCAUGCAGGCGGCCUGUUAAGUCAGAUGUGAAAGCCCGGGCUUAACCUCGGAAUUGCAUUUGAAACUGGCAGGCUAGAGUCUUGUAGAGGGGGUGAGAAUUGAUCAGGUGUAGCGGUGAAAUGCGUAGAGAUCUGAAGGAAUACCAGUGGCGAAGGCGGCCCCCUCG
rnacentral:rRNA from 1 species